rnacentral:rRNA from 1 species
UACGUAGGUCCCGAGCGUUGUCCGGAUUUAUUGGGUGUAAAGGGAGCGUAGGCGGUUCAGCAAGUCAGAAGUGAAAGCCCGGGGCUCAACUCCGGGACUGCUUUUGAAACUGUUGAACUAGAUUGCAGGAGAGGUAAGUGGAAUUCCUAGUGUAGCGGUGAAAUGCGUAGAUAUUAGGAGGAACACCAGUGGCGAAGGCGGCUUACUGGACUGUAAAUGACGCUGAGGCUCGAAAGCGUGGGGAGCAAACAGG